CUCCCCGGACGUCACCAUGCGUCUUGAAUUGGACUGGCAGCAGCCCUUAAUCAAAUUGAGCAUGCAUUGUGCAUUCCGUAAACUCGGAUUUGAUGAAACAUGAACCCAUCUUCUAAAGGGUUGAACCGCGGAGCACCGAUUCCCCCACACCCGCUGGAAGGAUUUAUCACAGUCGCCCGGGAAUUCCUCACACCAGGGCUCAAUCGCCUCAAACGUGCUGUGGCGGCGCUCAUUCCCCACAGCUUGCGAGAAAUUGUCGUCGGAGGAGGACGGCUCUUGACCAGUCUCGCACGUACAGUUCGACAAUUUCCUGCAGGUAAGGCCAUUGAUCGAGCUCCCCACCUGGACCGAGUCAUGCCUCAACUUCAGAACUCCCACUCGUUUGCAUCGUGAUUGGCGCAACCCUACCAGGAAUUAGUACACUUUCGCAGCUCGGUUACGCAAUUGUCCUGGACCGGUGGCAGUUUGUGUGCGCCAGCGAUCAAGGAAUGGCUACUUUCCAAAGUGGGUUUAUGGUGAAACCCGACCGGCCUUGAAUCCACUCACCGCGGGACGAUUUCCCAGAAACGAAUCCAUUGCGUUCAACCAACUGGGCAAAUGAGCCUUGUUCUGGGAGUGAGACCGCAAGCCAUGGCCAUUUAGGGUGUCAUUGAGUGAGCGUCUAGUGAUCGGAGGAGGCGAGGCGAGGCGAGGGGAGGGAGGCAGCGAGAGUUGAAUUAUGAAGCCGGGUUGGGAUUUUUUGUACUGGUUUGCCGGCGCGGUGUGGAAGCGCCUGAUACGGUGGAUUGAGAAUUGCUUGAACACCGCGGUCAUCGUUGCAGACGCGCUCCGUGAGGGCGACAUUGAGCUACUUCGAGUUGCUUAAACCACAUCAGCUUAACAGACUCUCGUCCUCCAUUUCAAAACCGGAAACAGUUGAUGCUCUUCGUAUACAGUGGUCUCCCAUGAGUGAAUUUUCGCAUUUCAUGGCAUCUGCUUGGAAUUCUCUGAUGGAUAGUAUACCAUCGUUAAACGAAGUCUUAUGGUCCCUCCUCUUGUUAUUGCUGUGUCAGCGCCGCUGUAUUAGACGAUUCUCAUGAGCUAAGGCAUUGUGACGGUUUUUAUCACCAGUAGAUCUGUCCCGUCGCCAGUUCGUCAAAACAAUCUUUCAUUAGGGGAGCUUGUGUGGGGAUCUGAAUCUUGACCUUUGAGAAGUUGAACAUGAUAGACAGUUUUCGUGAGCACAAGAAGGGGAUCAGAUGGUCACUAGAACGUCAGUGCAUGACACUCGAAGGAUUCAGUGAACAGAAAACAUAAUCCGUAGUUACCAUCAAAACCAUGGGAAUUGUGGGGACCAGAGAGUGCAAUUCGUUAAUUUGUUUAGUUUACGUUAGAUUAUUAUAUUCAAAACCUACAUUUGCAUGACUUUUUAGACUGAUGAAUGUGUUUGUAAGCCAGUCAUUUCUCGUUCACUGAUUAAUUAUUCCAUAAGGCGUAGUUGUGUAAGAAAACCUGAACCUUCACAACAAUGUUUUAUUUUUAAUGUUUUAUUUCUGGUUUAUGUUCUCAGUUCGAUGGUUGGCAAAUAGCUCAUUCCGCAAGACUUAAGAGAGGACUUGGAAAUUCAUGGCGAGCAACAGGGGAUGUCAUUCAACUCGCAGCUAGCGAGAACUGUAAUAGUUUUUGUCCAAGUUAACGGCAGCUCACGCACAGAAUAUUAGCAGAAGGCUGAAUAUAUAUCGUUGGCUUUGUACGGGUCUUGAAGGGCGUGGCCUCAUUGCUUCUGCAGGCAAUGAGAAUAGAAGCUCCAGCAUGUACCACACAGCUCACGGCUAUGGCUAUUCUUUGCUGCAAUGAGCACAGUAUUCAUACCUUAUCAUUCCGAUUCUGCGAUUAAUUAAACCGGUAAUUCAUCCUGUGGAGUGAUGGCCAUAACAAUUAUGUCCAGAAGCACAGAAUUUGGUGCGAAUGAAGUUUUUUUAUAUUGAAACCUGUGGAAUAAAAAACAGAUUUAUGUCCUGAGGAUUCAUGA